rnacentral:rRNA from 1 species
CAUGCAAGUCGAACGAUGAACCCGCUUCGGUGGGGGAUUAGUGGCGAACGGGUGAGUAACACGUGGGCAAUCUGCCCUGCACUCUGGGACAAGCCCUGGAAACGGGGUCUAAUACCGGAUACCACCCUUCCCGGCAUCGGGAAGGGUUGAAAGCUCCGGCGGUGCAGGAUGAGCCCGCGGCCUAUCAGCUUGUUGGUGGGGUGAUGGCCUACCAAGGCGACGACGGGUAGCCGGCCUGAGAGGGCGACCGGCCACACUGGGACUGAGACACGGCCCAGACUCCUACGGGAGGCAGCAGUGGGGAAUAUUGCACAAUGGGCGAAAGCCUGAUGCAGCGACGCCGCGUGAGGGAUGACGGCCUUCGGGUUGUAAACCUCUUUCAGCAGGGAAGAAGCGAGAGUGACGGUACCUGCAGAAGAAGCGCCGGCUAACUACGUGCCAGCAGCCGCGGUAAUACGUAGGGCGCAAGCGUUGUCCGGAAUUAUUGGGCGUAAAGAGCUCGUAGGCGGCUUGUCACGUCGGGUGUGAAAGCCCGGGGCUUAACCCCGGGUCUGCAUUCGAUACGGGCAGGCUAGAGUGUGGUAGGGGAGAUCGGAAUUCCUGGUGUAGCGGUGAAAUGCGCAGAUAUCAGGAGGAACACCGGUGGCGAAGGCGGAUCUCUGGGCCAUUACUGACGCUGAGGAGCGAAAGCGUGGGGAGCGAACAGGAUUAGAUACCCUGGUAGUCCACGCCGUAAACGUUGGGAACUAGGUGUUGG